AGCAGUUCGUGUUAAUGACAUUAAUCCAAACUUAUUGAUGACGUGAUAACAUGGGCGUCGAAUCCAAUAUUAAUCAUGCUGAGGUUUUCUCGACGGGGUAAUGUGUAUAAAUGCAGUUAUAAAAUUAAAAGGGACAAGAUAGUCGACGUGACCCUCAUGUUUCCAUGGCAAUCAGUCAAUUACAUGUUACGCUUAUGAUCGCACCUGCGGUCAUUCGCGCAGUAUCCAUUAUUUUAAGCGGCAUGAAACACUUAAGUUAACUCCUUUGUACGAAAAUAUCAUGUCGUCGCCCUUCAAAUUAGAAAAGUGAGGAUGAUCUUGUCAAUGCUGAGAUUUUCAUGCAUCAACAGCCACUACAUCUGGAUCAGAUUGAACAAGAAACAGACAGCAAGGGUUGUCAGAUCAGAAACAGAAUGACACACAAACACAAGAAACUUCACAGGCAGAUCAACAUGCAAUUUGAAGACGUGUGAUAAAAUACAGAGAGGUGAAGUAGUGUGUCUUUCCAGAUCCCCAAAUCAUUCCCCCUUAAAAGAUGAGCCUGAAGAGGAGAUUUGGGAAGAUGCUGUUUCGUAAGUCGCUUUGCCAGAUCACCUGUGGUCGGGAUGUCUGCUAACAAGAUGCCUUGCUGGUCUGAGUGAGAUUAAAGUCUUAGACAGACAGUCCAGAAGUUCUGAAGUCCAUCUUCGAUUUCAUUGAUGCUGUCAUCGUAUUAAGUACAGCAUGAGCCAGAAUAGAUGGGUGGUGGUGGCCAUAAGAAGACUGUCAACUAAACCAACAACAAAAUUCUUAUUUGUAGUUUUUCUUGAAUAAAGUUUUUCUAUUCAGAUUAAUAAAAUGACUUUUAAACAUGA